rnacentral:lncRNA from 1 species
AGUGAAUUUCGUUAAAUAUUCAACUGUAAUUUUUCAGAAGUUAAAAAAACGUAUUUCAAUACUGAUCAACAAAUAAGUCACCCCUUCUAUCCUUAAAUAAUUCGAAAUAAAGAUUUUGUUAUCGAAUUUCUGAGACGGGGUUACUCUGUUGUGUGUGUAUUGUUCGGCCAUCGGGGAAAGAAUUGUCUGGGGAUAAUAAACAUCCCCCACCAGAAUCCUAACCGGCCUACUAUUCUGAUUUGUCUAGUGUGUUGCUGUUUUCCGUCAACAAUAGUACUUUUACCAUAAAAAAUGUAUUUCUUCUCUUUAGAGGAGUCUGGUUAUUGGAGUAUUACCCUAGACCCCAGAUUUUCAUUUGAGACCCCGAGCUUUUUAUUGGAGAAUGAAAACCACCAACCUUUUAGUCGGAGAUCCCAAUCUUUUCACUUCAAUUUUCAUUGGAGACCCUAGACUUUUCUUUUAAACCACAAAAUUUCAGUGGAGACUCACCCUCAGAUUUUCAUUGGUGUCCCAAAAAUUUGUUGGCCUCCAAUAAAUACUUGAGGUCUUCGAAAAUUUUUUUUGGGGUCUCCGAUGAAAAUCUUGGGAUCUCUCAGAAGUCAAUCAUGAGGGUCUCUAAUAGUACUCCAAUGAUCAUGAUUUCUUUCUCCAGACUUGAUUGGGAGUGAAAUAUGCUGUGAAAGCUUCACGUCUUGGUAUCAAAGCAUCAAAACUAAUAUGAAGGUUUGACAGAAAGUGCAACGAACAGGAAAUAAACUUGUGGCCUGUACAAACUGUCUAUCAAUAUUCUAUACUCUAUCCUUUCUCCGACCAUCAACCAUGUCCAACUCAUCCAUCCAAUCUUACGUCUCCUACCGCCUAAGCCGGUUUUCUUUAACAGAAAUGAUAGAGGAGAUAGAACCUCUGUUCCUUUACUCCGACCAAGGAAUUGACGACAUCAAGAGAAUGGUUCUUCUUACUUCAGACACUGAUGAGAUGGAGUGGGUCCCGGACUGUGCAUUAUUAGAGACCUACCCGACUUGGAAUUGACAAAUAUCAGUGUCACUUCCUGGUUUCCAAGACUGCCGACACUCAACUAGAAUACUGUCUUCAGCUAGAACUUCUCUAAAAACCUUUCUAAGCUAGAACUUCCCAACUGCCAACUGUAACUUCCCAACUGCUAACUGGAACUUCCCAACUGCCAACUGUAACUUCCCAACUGCCAACUGGCACUUCCCAACUGCCAACUGGAACUGCCCAACUGCCAACUGGUACUUCCCAACUGCCAACUGGUACUUCCCAACUGCCAACUGGUACUUCUCAACUGCCAACUGGAACUGUCCAACUGCCAACUGGAACUGCCCAACUGCCAACUGGUACUUCCCAACUGCCAACUGGAACUUCCCAACUGCCAACUGGUACUUCCCAACUGCCAACUGGAACUUCCCAACUGCCAACUGGUACUUGCCAACUGCCAACUGGUACUUGCCAACUGCCAACUGGUACUUGCCAACUGCCAACUGGUACUUGCCAACUGCCAACUGGUACUUCCCAACUGCCAACUGGAACAUCUUAAUAGCUUGAGUAAUAGAACGUAUAUGUAAAAUCUAAAUAUGUAUGUUUAAUAAAUAUAGAACUUAAUAGA